rnacentral:ncRNA from 2 species
ACAUACGAUCCGUGUUUAGGUGGCUUGAAUCAGAAGGGAACCCCGUGAAAAUCGGGGACGGCCACGCCGCUGUAAUCGGGGACGAAACUUGCCAGAACCACUGCCCUGGGUCUGUCGAAGGGUGGGAAGGGGCAAGGAAGCCUGAGAGGAUAAGCUCCCGCAGGCCUUUGUAGGUUGAUCCGAGAGUCAGAAGACCCGCCUGAACACGCUUCACAAU